rnacentral:tRNA from 1 species
GCCCCCGUGGCCGAGAGGUUAGGCGUCCGGCUUAUAUCCGGAUAAAGGCAGUGGCCAGAUAAGCCACCCAUGCAGGUUCGAGUCCUGCCGGGGGCACCA